rnacentral:rRNA from 1 species
UACGUAGGGUGCAAGCGUUGUCCGGAAUUAUUGGGCGUAAAGAGCUCGUAGGCGGUCUGUCGCGUCUGCUGUGAAAACUCAGGGCUUAACCCUGAGCUUGCAGUGGGUACGGGCAGAUUAGAGUGCGGUAGGGGAGACUGGAAUUCCUGGUGUAGCGGUGAAAUGCGCAGAUAUCAGGAGGAACACCGGUGGCGAAGGCGGGUCUCUGGGCCGAAACUGACGCUGAGGAGCGAAAGCGUGGGGAGCGAACAGG